rnacentral:lncRNA from 1 species
CCCCAGUGGGUGUGCCCCCAGCAGUGCAGCCAGUCCCUCCCUGUCAGCGAGGGGCUGCUGUGGGAGCACAGCCCUGCCUGGGUCCUGGCCAGGCGCCUGCUCCCAGUGCACAGGGAGGUGUGGAACCCUGCCAGCUUCUCACUGCCCUGAGUCAUGGCUGGGCACUGGCCUCGGGCUGCCAGCUCUGCUUUGGUCUGGGGCAGCCCCAAGCAGAGAAUCGCUUUAAGGGCAACAGGACCCUUUAGAACAUCAACAACAUGACUGGCAAGUGUGGGAAGAAGAAGGGAUAAGUAACAUUUUUGAUCCCAAUUAAAACAUGAUUGGUAUUUUAGAAAUAUGAAAUCCUGAUGACCAGACUCAUAUCAAUCCUAAUGCUGCUAACAGUUUUGUGGAAGAGAUCUUCAGGGAGGACAUGGAAAACAGAACUCUGAGUGAGUAUAAAACUGGAGUUGUGUAUUAAUAUUUAAGGCCAUCUUGUUUUGUUCCAUUUGUUGGAGAUUUUUUAAUAAAAUGAUUAUACUGGCUAACUUGCCA